AAGUGAGUGUAAAAAUCUGCAGAAACGCAGUGACAAUUUCAACUCUACAGCAGUGAUGAAAACCUGCCACUCUGCUGUGCUUGUCAAACGUGCUGCAUUUCGGUGAAGGAAGAUUGCGAAGGAGCAAUGCUAGGCCACUGAUAUUGCUAGGGGCAAAAUACUGUUGCGUGUUCAAUUUGGGGAAGAGCAGAAAUAUACGUCAAGCUGUCUGAGCUGACAUUCGAUGCUUUCUUGAAAGAAGGCUUGGACAGUGACAUGUCUGCCAUCUUGCUGCUUCUACGUCUGCUACCACCAUCUGCACAAGGUAGAAAGAGGCCGGGAAAGCUUUCUGCGUAUCAAGCUGAUCAGCUCAUCAGAUUUCAAAAGGUUGGAACCAGUGUGUAGCAGCAUCUAGACAACAUCACCAAAAGCAGUCAGCCUUACCCUCUCGCCCAAGAAUCCACACAGAGCACCAUUCACUCCUACUUGCAAGCAUGCACUUCUGUGCAAGGCAACAGGUUCAGUUGGAGCUUUUGAUAAACUCUUUGAAGCCCAUUACGUCUUUGGUACGUCAUACAGUUCUCCAUUCCCUCCAUAUGACACACAAAUGUCAUUUGGAGGAAAUUACACAACUCUCCAUGUCGUGCCAUAUUGCUUACUCUGGUAAACAUUUUUAUGUUAUACAUGUUUCUGUCAGAGACAAGGCAAUGGGUUUGCAAUGUAAAUUAAAUGACAUUGAAAUGCUUUAUUUUUUUUACAAUAAAUUGUGA